rnacentral:rRNA from 1 species
AGGGUGGGUAGUCCGCACGAGCGCACCCUGUUUUUAGUUGCCAGCACAUUAUGGUGGGGACUCUAAAAAGACUGCCUGCGUAAGCAGAGAGGAAGGAGGGGACGACGUCAAAUCAGCAUGGCCCUUACGCCUAGGGCUACACACGUGCUACAAUGGCGUAUACAAAGGGUUGCGAGCCAGUGAUGGUAAGCCAAUCUCUAAAAGUACGUCUCAGUUCGGAUUGAAGUCUGCAACUCGACUUCAUGAAGCUGGAAUCGCUAGUAAUCGUGUAUCAGCAAUGACACGAUGAAUACGUUCCCGGACCUUGUACACACCGCCCGUCAAGCCAUGGAAGCUGGAUAUACCUGAAGAUGGUUGCUUUAAAGCGCUGUUUAGGGUAGAGCUAGUAACUGGGGCUAAGUCGUAACAAGGUAGCCGUACCGGAAGGUGUGGCUGGAAUACCUCUUUUCUAGAGACUUGGUUGCU